rnacentral:rRNA from 1 species
GACGAACGCUGGCGGCGUGCCUAACACAUGCAAGUCGAACGGAAAGGCCCUGCUCUUGCGGCGUGGUCGAGUGGCGAACGGGUGAGUAACACGUGAGUAACCUGCCCUUGACUUUGGGAUAACUGCAUGAAACUGCGGCUAAUACCGGAUAGGAGCUCCUGCUGCAUGGUGGGGGUUGGAAAGUUUCGGCGGUUGGGGAUGGACUCGGGGCUUAUCAGCUUGUUGGUGGGGUAGUGGCUUACCAAGGCUAUGACGGGUAGCCGGCCUGGGAGGGGGACCGGCCACAUUGGGACUGAGAUACGGCACAGACUGCUAUGGGAGGCAGCAGUGGAGAAUAUUGCACAAUGGGCGGAAGCCUGAUGCAGCAACGCCGCGUGCGGGAUGACGGCCUUCGGGUUGUAAACCGCUUUCGCCUGUGACGAGGCGUUAGUGACGGUAAUGGGUAAAGAAGCACCGGCUAACUACGUG